rnacentral:misc_RNA from 1 species
GAUGAAGAACGUAGCGAAAUGCGAUAAGUAAUGUGAAUUGCAGAAUUCAGUGAAUCAUCGAAUCUUUGAACGCACAUUGCGCCCGCCAGUAUUCUGGCGGGCAUGCCUGUUCGAGCGUCAUUUCAACCAUCAAGCCCUGCUUGCGUUGGGGUCCUGCGGCUGCCCGCAGGCCCUGAAAACCAGUGGCGGGCUCGCUAGUCACACCGAGCGCAGUAAUACAUCUCGCUUUGGGCGUGCGGCGGGUUCUUGCCGUUAAACACCCCCUUUUUACCAAGGUUGACCUCGGAUCAGGUAGGAAGACCCGCUGAACUUAAGCAUAUCAAUAAGCGGAGGA